rnacentral:rRNA from 1 species
GUAAGGAAUAUUGGUCAAUGGACGAAAGUCUGAACCAGCCAUGCCGCGUGAAGGAUUAAGGCCCUCUGGGUUGUAAACUUCUUUUAUCUGGGACGAAAAAAGGGUAUUCUUACUCACUUGACGGUACCAGAGGAAUAAGCACCGGCUAACUCCGUGCCAGCAGCCGCGGUAAUACGGAGGGUGCAAGCGUUAUCCGGAUUCACUGGGUUUAAAGGGUGCGUAGGUGGAUAUUUAAGUCAGUGGUGAAAUCUCCGAGCUUAACUCGGAAACUGCCAUUGAUACUAUUUAUCUUGAAUGCCCUGGAGGUAAGCGGAAUAUGUCAUGUAGCGGUGAAAUGCUUAGAUAUGACAUAGAACACCAAUUGCGAAGGCAGCUUACUACGGGGUGAUUGACACUGAGGCACGAAAGCGUGGGGAUCAAACAGGAUUAGAAACCCCUGUAGUCC